rnacentral:lncRNA from 1 species
CUCAGUUUGAGUUCAUAUUUUGGAAGUGUCACUUUUACAGUUCUGGAGUUAUGUCCAUUUUUAACUUUAUAUGCUAGCGGGGGCAUCAUCUGUGUCCCUAUGGACACAUUCCCUAUUUAUUUCUCUUCAUUUUUCGUCUGUCUUUGUCGUCCAUCGUCUUCGUCCGUCGUACGUUGUCAUCUGUUAGCCUAAAAUAUUCUCCUCUGAAAUAGUCCAGCUGAUUCGUGCAUAUUUUGACAAGAAUUUUUGGCUUGAUGAUAAAAGCAUGAAAUUUUGCACAAUUGUAUAUAAAAAUGUGGUUGUCAAUUUGAGAUUUGGACCAACAAAAUUUCUAAUAGCGGCCAUCAUAAAGAUGUCUUCCAAUCAGUCAUGUAUAUAUUGAAACAAAUAAUGGUCGAACUAAGUUAUUUAAAAACAUAAGAUAUUAUCUCUGGCGCGGGAAUAGUGUGACAAUUCCUUUUAAUUAAACACAUGUAUUCUUUAAUUAACAAUAUCUAUAGGUGUAAUAUAAGACGAUUUUUGUAUUUCCGCCACAGAAUCGCAACACCUCCAUAUCCUCUUGGCAUAUGUGUUGGUGGAAGUUUGUCUUUAUCAUCUGCUGAUUUUCCAAUACCAAUUAAGAUUUCAUUUGGUUCAUUCAAAGGGUUAAUAUGACAGUUAAACAACCAAUGUUCUUGUAUCAGACACACAUCAAUUGAGCAACUGUUAUUAAAAUUUCACAAGUUUUGCAGCCAUUAGUUCCACAUUUCAAACAUUUGUUCCUAUUCGUUAUUG